rnacentral:tRNA from 1 species
GGCUGAGUGGCGGAACUGGUAGACGCGCUGCACUCAAAAUGCAGUUCCUUCGGGAGUGCCGGUUCGAUUCCGGCCUCAGCUACCA